GACGAACGCUGGCGGCGUGCUUAAUACAUGCAAGUCGAACGCAGUGGGGACGGGUGAGUAACACGUGGGUAACCUCCCAUCAGAGGGGAUAACACAUGGAAAAAGGUGCUAAACCGAUACUGAUGGAUGGACCCUCGGUGCCUUAGCUAGUUGGUGAGGUAACGGCUCACCAAGGCCACGCUGCAUAGCCGACGUAGGAGGGUGUUAUGCCAUAAUUGGAAGGCGACACGGCCCAGACUCCUACGGGAGGCAGAAGUAGGGAAUCUUCGGCAAUGGGGUGAAUCCUGACCGAGCAACGCCGCGGGAGUGAAGUAGGUUUUCGGAUCUUAAAGCUCUGUUGUUAAGGAAGCGUUACUUAACCAGAAAGGGACGGCUAACUACGUGCCAGCCGCCGCGGUAAUAC
rnacentral:rRNA from 1 species